CACUAAGAAGCUAAAUAGUCAGCACUAGCCUUUUAAGCUAGGAUUAGGGGACUAGUAUUACCCCCUCCCCCUUAGUGA